UCCCGCGUGGCACAAUUGGUCAGCGCGUGAGACUUUUAAGAGCUUCGGCUUGUGAUCUCAAGGUUGGGAGUUCGAGCCUCCCCGCGGGAG